rnacentral:misc_RNA from 1 species
UUUCCGUAGGUGAACCUGCGGAAGGAUCAUUCAUAAUAAAGUGUUUUAUGGCACUUUUUAAAAUCCAUAUCCACCUUGUGUGCAAUGUUAGAUCUCGUCAAUCUUGGCGAGAUUUUUAUACAUCAACUCAUUCUUUAACUAAUUUGUCUGAAAAAUAUUAUGAAUACUUAAUUCAAAAUACAACUUUCAACAACGGAUCUCUUGGCUCUC